CUUUGGAUAAAAGCGUCUGCUAAAUGACUCCUAAUAAUACAGGGCUGGUGAAAAAACUGAGGAGCAGAGUUUGCACUGACUGUAAACUACACUGUAUUUAAAUAUGAAGCUUGCAUUGUAAUCCUGUGCUGCCCUGGAACACCUGUGAGAGUCGUCUUGGAUAAAGACGUCUGCCUGAUAAAUAAAUAAUGAUGAAGUAGUAUUAAUGUCGAUUCUGAUGCAGUCUCUCUCUCUCUCUCUCUCUCUCUCUCUCUCUCUCUCUCUCUCUCUCUCUCUCUCUCUCUCUCUCUCUCUCUCUCUCUCUCUCUCUCUCUCUCAGCCUUUCCUCCCUCGAUCAGGACAUCCUACAGGAAGGGUUCAAGGUGCAGGCGCGUGCCAAAUUUGAACAGAGUCCCAUCACAAACUCUGACAAAGCCAAGCUGAAGAACGUGACGGUGGUGGUGGGCUCGGACCUGGUCCUCCCCUGCCAGCUGAUCUCCAACCUGGCGCGGCCCCUGUGGCUCUUCAACGACCUGCAGCUGGUCCCGGGGCGGGGCGUCCGGGUGGAGUCCCGGCUGGGGGCCCUGGUCAUCGAGGGGGGCGGGCGCGGGGGAGGCGGGGCGCUACACCUGCCUGUCCCAGGAGAGAGGGGAGCGUUUCCUGGCGGAGCGCUACGUGGUCUCCUGUGGUGGCCAGCGCCCCAGUGUUCAUGGAGGCGCGCGCUCCGGACGGGAGCUUGGGGCUGGUGUGGGUGCUGGUCAUCACGCUGGCCUCGGCCUGCCUUCUGCUGCUGGGCUCCGUGCUUUACUUGCGCAGGAGGCUGAAGCAGGGCAAGGACUCAGAGCUCAUGAAGCCCCUGGAGAGCACGCUGGUCUACCCCCAUCACCCUGCCCCGGGAGCCGACCCACUUCGUACGCAGCAAAGGCUCGGACUCGGAGCUGUGGGACACCGGGAAUUAUUACUACUCGGACGGCUCUUUGAAGAUCGUUCCCGGCCACGCCCCGUGUCCCAGCGCAGCCCCGGGUAGCGGGAUCCCCGGCCAGCCCCUCCCCAGCACCGCGGCCCUGCACUCCCCCAACCGGCUCAGCCUGGGGAACAUCAGGGGCUCCGGCAGCAACGGCUACAUCCGGCUGAACCUGAGCAGCGCAGGGGAGGAGCGGGCGGAAUUCAGCGCUCCCUUCACAGAGGAGCUGAGGAAGACUCUGCAGCAGAGGAGCGUGCUGCCCGACACCAACCCAGAGGAGUCUUCAGUGUAGCUCCUCCCAGACCCUCCUGCCCCCUCUCCCUCCCUCCUCGUCAUCCUCUCUCUCUCUGUCUCUCUCUCCGUGGGAGCGGGACACAGACGCCUUGCCCGCCUCGAUCACGUCACUGCUGCCUCUGCAUCUUUUUCUGCACUUAGGUUUUGUUUAAUGAAACGGAAGCGAAGGCGUUUUUUUUUUUUUUUUUUUUUUUUUUUUUGCAAACCGUGCGAGAGAAGAUGUUUUUAAACAGCAGCCAAAAAACGCGAGGCCUGGGAGAGUUUUUGAGGGGUGUUUCGGAAAGGAGUUUGGGGGGGCUGACAUGGGACUUUUUUCUUUUUUUAAGUGAAGUGUUUUUUUAAAACGACAAAAAAAGAGAGACUGUUCUGUUUUAAUUCUUGUUUUGUAUAUGUUGGGACAUUUUCACGUGUUCGGUUCAUUCAUCGCUCCCCUUUUUGUGUUUUGAUUGUAUGUGUGCUCGUGUCUGUACAGUGUAUAAAUAUCUAAAUAUUGAAUUGAUGUCCUGCAUCGCGCCCGGGGUUUCAGGGAGCUCGACGAAGAACGCGGCUCCAGCAAUAACGAAAACCAAAAAAAAAAAUGUUAUCUUUUAUCACAGAAGCCAAAACACAGCAAGAGAGAGAAACGAGAUUCAAUGCAAUACGAUCCGAGGCAACUCAACUCAGCCGCACGAGGCGAUGGAUGUUGACAGGAUAUUGAGACUCCUUUUUAAGAGAUGGGGGGCUGGAGCUCCACUGCGCCCCCUUGUGUGUUUCAUGGGCGCUGCCUCCUGUCCAGGGCUGGGUCCAUCCUCGCUCUCCCUGCUAGGGGGGGGGGUGCUCUGCUUUUGGAUUACGGUUUCUUGGCUCAUCGAUGACCACCCCCCCCCCCCUCCCCACCGAGCCCCCGGUCAACCACGUCCGACACAGCGUCACUGCUGUGUUCACCUGUCCAGUCUGACUGCUUCAUGAGAUGGGUUGUGGAAGACGCAGAAGACUGCGGUCUUGCAGGGUGACUAAACCGAGGAAGGACGCGGAGCGGGGGGGAUUCGAGGAUGAGAUCCAUCGAAGCCAGACUCCUCCAGGCACGGAAGGAAGCCGGGAUGUGGCGGUUUGGAAUGUUUUCCGUGCCAGGAGGCGGGGCAGUGCUGUUCUUGCAGUCGAUUUCCUGAAGGAUCUGGGAUGGUCAGGAACUGUCAGUCGAAACGACAGCUGUUUAUUGAAAAAAAAAAUUGUGGAGGAUUUUUACAGAGGUUUCUAAUUCAAGAUCGCAGAAGAAAUGUUUUUUUUGAGACUCGUGUUUUAUUGUGUUUCUGCGUUCGCCACGCGCUCCGAGGUGUCCCGGGUUCAUCUUGAGAUUCUAGGAGCCCUCCCCCAGCUCUCUGCAAUGCGCUUCACAGAACAGAGCUCAGGAACGCUAUCUAGAGAAGCACAGCCCGGGGUUUUGAUGUCUCUGCGUUGUACAGACGCUGUCAACGGGGACGCGAUUUUAAACACGCGCUUCACCAACACGCUCGCGUUGCUUUUUGUUUUUUUGCAAACCUUUUUUUGUUUUUUUAGAGGAUUUCAUUGUAUUGUAACUUAUUUUGCCUGUACAAAAUGUUCAAUAUUUAUUAUCCCUGUACAUAAUUCCUUAUUUUUUAUAUAUGAAUAAAAAGUUCGAGUCACUGA